CAAGUCGAGCGGAUCUUUGAGAGCUUGCUCUCAAAGAUUAGCGGCGGACGGGUGAGUAACACGUGGGUAACCUGCCUGUAAGAUUGGGAUAACUCCGGGAAACCGGAGCUAAUACCGGAUAACAUUUUGAACCGCAUGGUUCGAAAUUGAAAGGUGGCUUUUGCUACCACUUACAGAUGGACCCGCGGCGCAUUAGCUAGUUGGUGAGGUAAUGGCUCACCAAGGCAACGAUGCGUAGCCGACCUGAGAGGGUGAUCGGCCACACUGGGACUGAGACACGGCCCAGACUCCUACGGGAGGCAGCAGUAGGGAAUCUUCCGCAAUGGACGAAAGUCUGACGGAGCAACGCCGCGUGAGUGAUGAAGGCCUUCGGGUCGUAAAGCUCUGUUGUUAGGGAAGAACAAGUACCGUUCAAAUAGGGCGGUACCAUGACGGUACCUAACCAGAAAGCCACGGCUAACUACGUGCCAGCAGCCGCGGUAAUACGUAGGUGGCAAGCGUUGUCCGGAAUUAUUGGGCGUAAAGGGCUCGCAGGCGGUUCCUUAAGUCUGAUGUGAAAGCCCACGGCUCAACCGUGGAGGGUCAUUGGAAACUGGGGAACUUGAGUACAGAAGAGGAGAGUGGAAUUCCACGUGUAGCGGUGAAAUGCGUAGAGAUGUGGAGGAACACCAGUGGCGAAGGCGACUCUCUGGUCUGUAACUGACGCUGAGGAGCGAAAGCGUGGGGAGCGAACAGGAUUAGAUACCCUGGUAGUCCACGCCGUAAACGAUGAGUGCUAAGUGUUAGAGGGUUUCCGCCCUUUAGUGCUGCAGCAAACGCAUUAAGCACUCCGCCUGGGGAGUACGGUCGCAAGACUGAACUCAAGGAAUUGACGGGGCCCGCACAAGCGGUGGAGCAUGUGGUUUAUUCGAGCACGCGAGACUUACA
rnacentral:rRNA from 2 species